UUCUGCAAUAAUAUAUUUUUUUGCAAUGACACAGAUAUUGGGAUCUUACGACAGCCCAUCGAUGGAAAUCCGUACAAAAACGCGGCAGUGUUCGGUUCCGGAACAAAAAUUAUCGAUAUUGGUGUUUCAAUGGAUGGCAUGGACGUCUUUAGUAUAAGCGAAAAUAGCCAUUCGAUGAUAAUCUGGUCUGUGAAUAUGAACUAUUUAGAUAAAUUGGAGAAAUAUGGCGGUGAUGGAUUAAAAGCAUAUAGUUCCCUUCUAGAAGGUGGAAAAAAUGGACAGGAAAUUACAGA